rnacentral:rRNA from 1 species
GGGGAAUUUUCCGCAAUGGGCGAAAGCCUGACGGAGCAAUACCGCGUGAGGGAGGAAGGCUUUUGGGUUGUAAACCUCUUUUCUUAGGGAAGAAGAACUGACGGUACCUAAGGAAUCAGCAUCGGCUAACUCCGUGCCAGCAGCCGCGGUAAUACGGAGGAUGCAAGCGUUAUCCGGAAUUAUUGGGCGUAAAGCGUCCGCAGGUGGCCUUUCAAGUCUGCUGUCAAAGACCAGAGCUCAACUCUGGGCAGGCGGUGGAAACUGGGAGGCUAGAGUACGGUAGGGGUAGAGGGAAUUCCCAGUGUAGCGGUGAAAUGCGUAGAGAUUGGGAAGAACACCAGUGGCGAAGGCGCUCUACUGGACCGAAACUGACACUCAGGGACGAAAGCUAGGGGAGCGAAAGGGAUUAGAUACCCCUGUAGUC